rnacentral:rRNA from 1 species
UACAGAGGUCCCGAGCGUUGUUCGGAUUCACUGGGCGUAAAGGGUGCGUAGGUGGUGGGGUAAGUCUCGUGUGAAAGCUCGCAGCUUAACUGCGAAAAGUCACGGGAUACUAUCCGGCUAGAGGCUUGGAGGGGGGGACUGGAAUACUUGGUGUAGCAGUGAAAUGCGUAGAUAUCAAGUGGAACACCAGUGGCGAAGGCGAGUCCCUGGACAAGACCUGACACUGAGGCACGAAAGCCAGGGGAGCAAACAGG